GCCGCUGCAUGUCUGCGCGGACCUGCCCGGAACGGCGGCGCGACGGCGCUCAGGUCCCCCCGGGGUCCCGCUCCAGCCCCCGCUCCCAGCCCCCGUCCUCUCUGGCCUCCUCACUCCGCCGCCCAGUAAAUCCUCCCCUCGCCUCCUCCUCCCCAGACCUCGCAGGCUCCAGGGUGGGGGCUCACACUCGGACGAUCAGCCAGCCGCCCGGGCGCCCCGACGGCCAGGGACGGAGACGGGGCGGAGACCCCCACUGACCCCGGCCGCUGCUUCUUGCCUCCCGUCCCCAGACCCCACCCUGCCCCCAUUGCUUCCCCAAAGGUCCACCUCAUUCUGGGAACCGUGAAGACAGCAGCCUACCUCCUCGCCCUCCCUGCCAGCUGAACUCAACCUGGCUCCCCUCACAGCAGCCUCUGCAGCCAGCCACCGGAGGGCAGCUACCAGCCAGCCAAAGCCCCAGCCCCUUCCCACGACCUCCUCACCCAGGCUCCCCCGGGUGCCCCGCCCUGACUCACGGCCCCGGCCCAGGGUCCUGGGGGUGCUGGCCGGCCUCGCUGGGGCCCCACUCGGGGGAAAGGUGAGGCCAGAUCAUGGCGACAGGCCCCUUGGGCUCAGUGGCUGGAGGAAUGGGGUGGCCAGGUGGGGCUGGAAGACCCUCCAGCCGCUGGUCCUGGCCGAGGCUAACAGUGGCCCAAGGUCAACAUGCCGGCCCUGAUGGACAGCUCGGAACACUCCAGACCCUCCCCUCUUGCCAGACACGAAGGUAGCCACGCCGAGACCCCAGCGUCAACCCCAGCCCCAGGCCACAUCCACAGGCAGAGCCACGGGAGACCAGGCUGGGAUGGGGAUGACGCUUGGGAACCCACCAGGGACCCCGGCUGCCCCCUCGCCCUCCGGGCUCUCAGGCACUGACUGGCAUCUCCAGAGAGCACUGUGGAAGCCUCCCGGCCCCGUGUCCGCUCGUGAAGGUGGUGGAGGACCCUGGGGACACGGCACAGCGCCCACACAGUACCAGCCCUGCUGGACCCCCGCAGACACCCUGACACCCCCCGGCCCUGGAAAAAUGGCAAAGGACCACGGUGCCC
rnacentral:lncRNA from 1 species